rnacentral:rRNA from 1 species
CAAUAGCGUAUAUUAAAGUUGUUGCAGUUAAAAAGCUCGUAGUUGAAUUUUUGCUUGCCGCCGAUGUCGGAACUUCCGUACGUUCGGCGGCGUGCAUCCUUGGGUGGAACCUGUGUGGCGUUAGGUUGUCGUGCAGGGGAUGCUCAUCGUUUACUGUGAAAAAAUUAGAGUGUUCAAAGCAGGCUUACGCCGUUGAAUAUAUUAGCAUGGAAUAAUAAGAUAGGACCUUGGUACUAUUUUGUUGGUUUGCGCACCGAGGUAAUGAUUAACAGGGACAGUUGGGGGUAUUCGUAUUCCAUUGUCAGAGGUGAAAUUCUUGGAUUUCUGGAAGACGAACUACUGCGAAAGCAUUUACCAAGGAUGUUUNCAUUA